rnacentral:rRNA from 1 species
GAUGAACGCUGGCGGCGUGCUUAACACAUGCAAGUCGAACGAUGAAGCCCAGCUUGCUGGGUGGAUUAGUGGCGAACGGGUGAGUAACACGUGAGUAACCUGCCCUUAACUCUGGGAUAAGCCUGGGAAACUGGGUCUAAUACCGGAUAGGAGCGUCCACCGCAUGGUGGGUGUUGGAAAGAUUUAUCGGUUUUGGAUGGACUCGCGGCCUAUCAGCUUGUUGGUGAGGUAAUGGCUCACCAAGGCGACGAAGGGUAACCGGCCUGAGAGGGUGACCGGCCACACUAGGACUGAGACACGGCCCAGACUCCUACGGGAGGCAGCAGUGGGGAAUAUUGCACAAUGGGCGCAAGCCUGAUGCAGCGACGCCGCGUGAGGGAUGACGGCCUUCGGGUUGUAAACCUCUUUCAGUAGGGAAGAAGAGAAAGUGACGGUACCUGCAGAAGAAGCACCGGCUAACUACGUG